GGAUGGGCUUUAGACACAUAAAACUUUCAUUUUUUUUACCGAGGGGUUUAAAUUAAGGUCCAAGCAACAUCUUCACAGAAUGCUGUACCUGCCAAACUCUCAGAAAAGAUAUUAGCAAAAUUCUAUUAGAUCACAAGUAACAAUCUUCAUGAUUUAAGAUAGAGAUUUUACUUGAAACUUCGAAAAAACACAGGUGACCCAAAUAGAAGAUUCGGAGUAGUGAGGACAUUUUAUUUCUAAACCUGGAUCAUCCCAAUCAAUCCUGCAUCUAAAGCCUUAUGAGAUAGUACAUUCUACAGUGCCACAAUGUUUUGUGUGAAGAAAUAUUUUCUGAUUUGCAUAAUAAGUAUGUCAAAGACUAGUUUUGAUGGAUAGAAACAUGGAAUUCUGGUCAGCAUUCGCAACAUAAAAUAGUACUUUAUUUGCGGAUCGUUUCAAUUAAGUAACAUCCAUUAGUCAAAUGAGGGUCUUACCAACCUUGUAACAUGAGGAUUUUUUUUUUGGUGGGGGGGGCUUUAGCUUUAAUAUUGCAAAGAAUGUUUUAUAAAUAAAUGAGCUACCAAAUAACUUGCUUCCCCCAUCUCUCCUGAAGGUGACCACUCAGAUAGGAGCUCCAAACAGACCAGUUAGCUCUCUUGUGCCUUGUGCAUGCAUUUGUGAACCUUAGACAGUGAGUGCUGCCAGGCUAUUCAAUAUUUUUGGAUAGGUGUGUCACCAUCGUCAAACAUGCUCCUGUACAUAACUAACAUUCACAGUCACCUACAAGGGUUACUGGAAAGCAAUCAGUAGCAAGAUCCUACCUGAUUUCCCAAUCUUUCCUUCCUAUCCGAGAGCUAUUUGACAUACGACUGCUCUAACACCACUGCCCUGGCUAACAAACUAUGUUCACCAACUGGUGAACAAAUCCACAGCAACACAGUGUACCUCCUCCCCCCCCACCAUUAUUUACAGCAAGGAUAGCCAACUUGCAGCUCGUGUGACUAUUUUACGCAGGCAUAAUUCGGCCCAUGGGGAGCAAGUUGACCAUCCCUACUCUACAGUAUAAGGCUAGAUUCACAUUAUUUGAAACAAAAGUACUAUUUAACAUCAAAAUGUAAUUUUUAACAUUUCAAAAUUUGGGCCAUCAAUGCCAUUUUUCCAAAGAUUCAGGUUGCAGCUCAAUUUAAGAUAAAGAUGUAAACAAUGCUCACCUGAAUUAAUUGCUCAAGCUCUCCCGCAGUCUCAGGAUCUCCAGCAGACCACACAGGAUUCUCUACCUAUUCUCUACCCUUCAGGAGACAACAACAGCAUCAAUCUUGUAUACCACAGGAAUAUUAGUGAUUAAAAGUCAAUUUAAAAAUCA